GUUCCUCGAUCUCGGUUUCUUCCAGUGAAGACAACAUCUGAUUUGCUUCUCGUUUAGAAAUAGUGUAAGAACUAAUCCAGUAAACCCUUCUAUUGAGUUGGGACCCGAAUUCAAAAAGGUUAGCAACUUUCUCAGUCACUUCAAGUCCAUC